ensembl:lncRNA
AAAGGAAAUAUCAAAGUUACUUUGCCACAAACUCAUUGCAGCUUCUACCUCGUCAUUGGGAUGUUUUAUUAUGAUUCAGAAUGACUUUAUUUCAAUCACAACACAUUUUUGUUUGACAAAUUUUGGACAGAUUAUGGAUCAACAAGUCACUUCAACAGUUUAAAUUCCUGGAGCAAGUUUUUGGCACAACACUUAAGGAAGAAAAGGGCAGAUACAGACAUUUAUGCUGCAAUCAUUAUAGUAAGGUUAUUAUUAAUCAUUAUGUCACAGUUUGCAAAGGUGAAUCAUGCGGAGAGAAUUAGGAAUGGACCCAAAUGCAGACAAUAGAGAUGAAGAUGUUUAACUGAAAGCGAGCCUUUAUUCGUGGCUGAAUGAACACUACAAAACAACAAAAACCUAAACUGGGAACAGCUAAACAUGAAACUGGAACUAAACAACCUGACACCUGGAAACAUGGCUGGAGCGACACUGGGGAAGAUGAACAGAAUAAUGACACCGGGGAUGAUACACAGAUGCUGAACCUAAUCAGACGUGAGGAGACAGGGAGGAAGCAAAAGAGAAUACAUUGAAAGUCCGUGUCCUAUGUCAAAGUAACAGAACACAGAGUAGACAUAACACGGAACACAGAGGAGGCACAUAAACAAAACCUAAAGACCAGAAAUCAUGAAAUACUAAGGAACUAGGGAGCUAGAAAUACUGAAAACCAAGAGGCUAGCAGUGAAAAAUUAUGAUGAAAUCAAAGAUCAAUAAUAGUACACACUCACAACACUGGGUCGCAUUGAAAGUACACCCACCUCAAGGGCUGGCUCCAGACAGCCCAAACCAGAAGAGCAAAACAAAAACAACCCAACCAGGGCGGAUGGUGGGGGUCCAAAACAAAAAGUUAACAAAAAGCACUAGAGCUCAUGGAACAGUCCAAAACAGAAUAUCCACAACAAGCACUGGAACUCCAGAAACAGUUCCCACACAGUUCAGAGGGCCGGCCUGGAGGAUGAAAGCACAGGAGCCCAGGCCUAAAACGUUCAGGAGGCUGACCGUGGAGCAGUUCUGGAGGCCGAUCGCGGAGCCAGCAGCAGCAACGAGACAGUCCAGGGUGCCGGCCAUGAAGAAAGCGGCGGCGGCACCAGUGAAGCAAGUCCAGACGCCGACCAUGUGGGAAGCGGCUUUGGCAACACAGUUCAGGAGGCCACCAAUGAUGGCAAAGAUGCUCAGCCGACGGCGUGGAAAGUGGCUGGUGACAGUGUGGUGUUGGACGUGGACGAGCAGGCUGUGGACAGCUGGAUGGACUCUCCAGAGCCCCCAGCGGGAACAGACGGCUGGCACGGCUCUCCAGAGCCUCCAGCGGGAGCAGAUGCAGAGCCUGCAGGUACAGAGACCUCUGGCUGAGAUGAAGCAGGGCCAGCAGGUGCUGAAACCCCUGGCUGAACCGGUGGCUGAGCAGAUAACUGAGCUAAUAACUGAGCUAAUAACUGAGCUAGCGAGUAAGCUAGUGACAGAAGUUGAUGUUGUUGUAAUGGUGGAUUAGCAGGUGGCUGUACUAGUUCUCCUAAGCCUCCAAAAAAUGAGGGAAACGGCUGGACGGGCUCACCUAAGCCUCCAACGGAGACAGGAACGGGUGCAGGCACCUGCCGGACACUAGCCGCUCCCACUUGAGGAGUAGGUACCGGUGCAGAGUUGGGCUGUGUCCUGGCUAGCCUCGCCCUGGGAACUGGCAUGGGCGCCGGGGCAGACCGGACACCAGUCACUCCCACCUGAGGGAUAGGUAUGGGCGUAGGAGGUUGCUGGUUCAUGGCCACCCUCACCCUGGGAGCCGGAAUAGGUACUGGCAACGGCUGGGCAGCUGCUGUCCCCACCCAAGGAGCUGGUACAGAUGCAGAGACUAGCAGAGCUUCACCCGUCCUUGAAUCCGGCGCAGGGACCAACUGGGCCCUGGCCCCCCUCACCCGGGAAACUGAUACAGGUGCACCUGACUUGGUAACAUGGCUUACAGUUUUUGAUUUAACAGCGUUAACAGUCCUUGAAAAAUGAUUGUCUUUUACCUCCUCAGGAGGAGCAGAACAAAAAGAAUCCUCCAAGUCCAACUCCUCAUCCAAAAAAGAAAUCCCAAAGCUUUCUGGGUCGCAGUAUCCAUUAGCAGCAUCAACACACCCCAGAUGUCCAAGGACGGCCGCAGAGGAGCGAAUUUAGCCA